rnacentral:rRNA from 1 species
UGGGGAAUAUUGCACAAUGGGCGAAAGCCUGAUGCAGCAACGCCGCGUGAGUGAUGAAGGCCUUCGGGUUGUAAAGCUCUGUCUUUUGGGACGAUAAUGACGGUACCAAAGGAGGAAGCCACGGCUAACUACGUGCCAGCAGCCGCGGUAAUACGUAGGUGGCAAGCGUUGUCCGGAUUUACUGGGCGUAAAGGAUGCGUAGGCGGAUUUUUAAGUGAGAUGUGAAAACCCUAAAGCUUAAACUUGGGGACUGCAUUUCAUACUGGGAAAAUCUAGAGUGCGGGGAGAGGGAGAAAUGGGAAUUCCUAGUGUAGCGGUGAAAAUGCGUAGAGAUUAGGAAGAACACCAGUGGCGAAGGCGAUUCUCUGGACCGUAACUGACGCUGAGGCAUGAAAAGCGUGGGUAGCAAAACAGGAUUAGAUACCCUGGUAGUCCACGCCGUAAACGAUGAGUACUAGGUGUAGGAGGUAUCGACCCCUUCUGUGCCGCAGUUAACACAAUAAGUACUCCGCCUGGGAAGUACGAUCGCAAGAUU